AUUGAACGCUGGCGGCAGGCCUAACACAUGCAAGUCGAGCGGAUGAAGGGAGCUUGCUCCUGGAUUCAGCGGCGGACGGGUGAGUAAUGCCUAGGAAUCUGCCUGGUAGUGGGGGAUAACGUCCGGAAACGGGCGCUAAUACCGCAUACGUCCUGAGGUAGAAAGUGGGGGAUCUUCGGACCUCACGCUAUCAGAUGAGCCUAGGUCGGAUUAGCUAGUUGGUGGGGUAAAGGCCUACCAAGGCGACGAUCCGUAACUGGUCUGAGAGGAUGAUCAGUCACACUGGAACUGAGACACGGUCCAGACUCCUACGGGAGGCAGCAGUGGGGAAUAUUGGACAAUGGGCGAAAGCCUGAUCCAGCCAUGCCGCGUGUGUGAAGAAGGUCUUCGGAUUGUAAAGCACUUUAAGUUGGGAGGAAGGGCAGUAAGUUAAUACCUUGCUGUUUUGACGUUACCAACAGAAUAAGCACCGGCUAGCUUCGUG
rnacentral:rRNA from 1 species